AGCAGGAGGAUUUGUCAAGGUGACCCACAGUUCCCUUAUUUGUUCAUUUUAUGUAUGGAGCGCCUCUCUCACUUGAUUAAUCUCGAAGUUGCCAACGAUAAUUGGAAGCCCAUCACAUUAAGCAAAGGUGGCCCUCCCAUCUCGCACUUUUUCUUUGCUGACGACUUGCUUUUAUUUGGUGAAGCAUCAGUUGCUCAAGCUCAAGUAAUUGAGAAAGUGUUGCAUAAGUUCUGCAUAGCCUCGGGUCAGCGGGUUAGCAACAGUAAAACCCGCAUCUUCUUCUCUUAGAAUUCGGAUGGGUCUAUUCCCAAUGAUAUCUGUCACACCUUGAAUUUUUCUAAAAUCCAAGACUUGGGCAAAUAUCUUGGAGCUAUGGUCUUUCACGAUAGGGUUGGCUAGUGAUAGGAUUGUGUAAGACUUUGUCUGGGACUCUACGACGGAUAAAAGAAAGAUGCAUCUCCUAAGCUGGGAGAAGAUCUGUGCCCCGAAAUCUAAGGGCAGUCUAGGCCUUCGUAAAGCUAUGGAGAUUAACCAUGUCUUGCUCAUGAAACUAGGGUGGAAUUUAAUCUCGAAGCCUAAUGCACUUUGGGUUCGAGUCCUCCUGAACAAGUACAACAAAAAGUCAUAUCCCUGAUGUCUCCCUAAUCCUAAACCAGGUUGCUCUAACAUUUAGCGGGGUAUAUGUCAUUCUUGGCCUCAUGUCAUGCACGGACUUUCUUGGAGCAUUGGGAAUGGGCAACAGGCUCGUUUUUGGAUUGACGAUUGGCUUGGAGGGUUUGGUCCAUUGCUUGCUUAUGCCACUCAAGAAAUUCCAGGUGAUGUCAAGUUUAAACCAAUUUCUUUUUUUGUUUUUCUAAUAGAAACUGGAAUUAGAGUUGCUUUCAUUCGUUGUUACCUUCCUUCGUUUGUUUAAGGCUAGAUGCAGUUCUCCCCCCUUCGUGCAACAAUGAUGGAGAUCUUGUUAUAUGGAACUUCUCAAAGUCUCUGAUGUUUUCCGUCAGCUCAGCUCAUGACCUACUCCAUGGCGACAUGCAUUUGAAUGAUAAUCCCCUCUAGAGUAACAUUUGGAAAUGGAAGGGUCCCCGACGAAUAAGAGCAUUCUUAUUGCUCAUGGCGCAAAAUAGGCUGCCCGCUGCUGACUUAUGCUUCAAGAGAAAGGUGGUUUCCUCCAACUCUUGUUCGCGAUGUGGCACCAUUAAGGAACCAACUGUUCAUGCAGUUCGGGACUGCCCUUUUGUGCAACAAAUUUGGAGACUUGUCAUUCCUAUGGAAAUGUGGAACUGCUUUAAUUCCCUUCCUCUGAAAGAUUGGAUUGAUAGAAAUUUAAAAAACAAGAGUCAUAUCAUCCAGAAUAAAUAUAGCUGGUACCUUGUGUUUGGAGUAGUUACUUGGCAGCUUUGGUUUUGGAGAAACCAAUUUGUGUUUGAUAAUCUUUUUCAUCUUACCAAUGAUCCUCUGUAGAAAAUUCAGCAGAGAUGUGAUGAGAUCUGUCGAGCUCAAGUAAGCUAUGGUUCUCUUUGAAUCCAAGCAAGAAAUUCUGAUAGUUUAAAAGCUCGUUAGCAACCCCCUACUGGUACGGUUAAACUUAACAUUAAUGGAGCUUGUGUUGAGUUUGGCGAUAGAGCUGUUGCUGGGGGUGUCAUUUGUGAUGCCAAUGGUUGCUGGUUGAAGGGCUUUACAUUCAAAAUUGGCAGUUGCUCUCCUUUGGACGCAGAGCUUUGGGGGCCCUUAGUGGUCUUGACAUUGCUUGGAACCUUGGUUUUAGAAAUAUCACUCUUAAAAUGGAUCCUACUUUAGCAGUGGACUACAUUUAUAGGAGGAAUACAGCUCAUAAUUCGCCAAAGAAAUUGUUAAAAGAAUUCAUGGUCUUCUGUCCAGAGACAUUGUAUAUUGCGUUCAUGUGUUUCAGGAGGCAAAUUCAUGUGUAUCAGGACUACCUCUGCCUUGAACUCUCAUUCGAGUUUUUAGAUGCUGGACAAUCCUCCUGCUCAACUACUGUCAUUUUUAAUCUGAGAUUCCUUAGACAUCGCUAAUAGCCAUUUUACUUCUCAUGUCUAAUUUUCGUUUUACUUGGGACUGUGCCCCCUUUUCAUACCAAAAAAAACCCUCUAUUUUCUUUUCUCUCUCACCACCACUCUAUCUCCUCUCUCACUCUAGUAUCACCGCCAACUCUACUCAACUCAACAUAUACCCAAAAUCAAUCAGUGAAUAAGCUCAUCCUAUUCUUAUCCACUGUUUCUUUUUCUUUCUUAUUUUUUUCUUUAUUUUUAAUCAACUAUGCAACUAACUUUCUUGAAAUAAGGUCCAUUGUUGUGCAGCACAUACAACCUUAUUGUCUUUAACUGCUAUGGCAAAAUAAUUUGCUUUAUUAUUGACCAA